rnacentral:rRNA from 1 species
CACGUAGGCACCAAGCGUUAUCCGGAUUUAUUGGGCGUAAAGAGCUCGUAGGCGGUGUGUCGCGUCGGCCGUGAAAACCUGCAGCUUAACUGUGGGCUUGCGGUCGAUACGGGCAUCACUGGAGUUCGGCAGGGGAGACUGGAAUUCCUGGUGUAGCGGUGAAAUGCGCAGAUAUCAGGAGGAACUCCGGUGGCGAAGGCGGCGUGCUGGACCCGUCCUGACGCUGAGGCGCGAAAGCGUGGGGAGCGAACAGG